GAGCAACUUAUUACAUUACAUUACAAUACAUUACAUUUGGAGAACGUUUUAUAACAACAUGCGACUUCCAAUAAGGGAAACAAUCAAGGUAGAGUGCAAUAAGGUCAAGUGCAGCAGUGAGUGCUACUUCCAUACAGUCAAGUACAGUAAGUGCUAGAAUUAGCAAGUCUAGUAGUAGAGAUACUCUCAGAAGAGCUGGGUCUUCAGGAGAUUUUUGAAGGUAGAGAGGGACACUCCUGCUCUUGUAGGAACUGGUACUGCAUUCUAGCAAUGGGGAAUAACAGAUGAGAAAAGUUUAGAUUGCCCUGAGCGGAAAAUACAAUACUGUCACAAUGUGUUGCACAAGAAAAUGCUUAUAUUAUGGUAUAGUGAUUAUGCGAUUCAUCGUAAGAAAAUAUGGAAAAUACUCCUGGUGUUCCUAGGUAACGUUUCCCCUACACAAUAUGCUAAUAAAGAAACAAGCUCAUGUUUGCACUACAUCAUGUAUGAUGAUGUAAUACAUUUUUACUUCAUAAUGUAAUAACUCCUGCAGUGUAUCAAUAAUAUAUCACAUAUUCAAUAAUAAUUUGUCCCAUCCGAUUAAGACCAGAUCCAGUUAAGGAAUCGCUUUGGCUCAGAUCUGGCCCUGAUCUGGCCUCGUGUUUCUCUGAUGUCUUGAGGCCUGUGAGGCCCUCUUUCAGCACAUACACAUACACACACACACACACACACACACACACACACACACACACACACACACACACACACACACUACUAUGCCCAAAGGAAUUUCAUGACCUAAGUUUCACAGAAUGCACAACACAAAAAAUGUGUUUUCCCUGAUUUGUCCAGAAUUCUUUGUCACCUGUUUGUAAUAGCAAAAGGUUGUAGAGUUGUUGAUAAGCAACCCCAUUCUCUACCAUUUGUAGGUUUCUGUGCAGUACAAUGAGAGCGUAUUUGCAAUCUCACCCAACCUGUGUUUUUGACAGCCAGGUGUAUGAGUUAUUUGAGUUAUCUGGGUUGUUGGCCAAAUAAAGAAUUGGAAUGUACUCUUAA